rnacentral:rRNA from 1 species
AUUGAACGCUGGCGGCAGGCCUAACACAUUCUAGUCGAACGAGUGGCGGACGGGUGAGUAAUGUCUGGGAAACUGCCCGCUGGAGGGGGAUAACUACUGGAAACGGUAGCUAAUCCCGCAUACCAUCGGAUGUGCCCAGAUGGGCUUAGCUAGUAGGUGGGGUAAUCGCUCACCUAGUCGACGAUCCCUAGCUGGUCUGAGAGGAUGACCAGCCACUCUGGAACUGAGACACGGUCCAGACUCCUACGGGAGGCAGCAGUGGGGAAUAUUGCACAAUGGGCGCAAGCCUGAUGCAGCCAUGCCGCGUGUAUGAAGAAGGCCUUCGGGUUGUAAAGUACUUUCAGCGAGGAGGCGUUACUCGCAGAAGAAGCACCGGCGAACGCCGUGCCAGCAGCCGCGGUAAUAC